UCAGGUCUCCAAGGUGAACAGCCUCCGGCCAAUGGAACAAUGUAGGCAAGGGAAGUCGGCAAAACGGAUCCGUAACUUCGGGAAAACGAUUGGCUCUGAGGACUGGGCUCGGGGGUCCCUGCCCCGAACCCGCCGGCUGUCGGCGGAUUGCUCGAGCUGCUCACGCGGCGAGAGCGGGUCGUCGCGUGCCGGCCGGGGGACGGACCGGGAAUCGCCCCUUCGGGGGCUUUCCCCGAGCAU
rnacentral:rRNA from 1 species